AGUGAACGCUGGCGGUAGGCCUAACACAUGCAAGUCGAACGGCAGCACAGAGGAGCUUGCUCCUUGGGUGGCGAGUGGCGGACGGGUGAGGAAUACAUCGGAAUCUACUCUGUAGUGGGGGAUAACGUAGGGAAACUUACGCUAAUACCGCAUACGACCUACGGGUGAAAGCAGGGGACCUUCGGGCCUGGCGCGGUUGAAUGAGCCGAUGUCGGAUUAGCUAGUUGGCGGGGUAGAGGCCCACCAAGGCGACGAUGCGUAGCUGGUCUGAGAGGAUGAUCAGCCACACUGGAACUGAGACACGGUCCAGACUCCUACGGGAGGCAGCAGUGGGGAAUAUUGGACAAUGGGCGCAAGCCUGAUCCAGCCAUACCGCGUGGGUGAAGAAGGCCUUCGGGUUGUAAAGCCCUUUUGUUGGGAAAGAAAUCCAGCUGGCUAAUACCCGGUUGGGAUGACGGUACCCAAAGAAUAAGCACCGGCUAACUUCGUGCCAGCCGCCGCAGUAA
rnacentral:rRNA from 1 species